rnacentral:rRNA from 1 species
GACGGAGGAUGCAAGUGUUAUCCGGAAUCACUGGGCGUAAAGCGUCUGUAGGUGGUUUAAUAAGUCAACUGUUAAAUCUUGAGGCUCAACUUCAAAAUCGCAGUCGAAACUAUUAGACUAGAGUAUAGUAGGGGUAAAGGGAAUUUCCAGUGGAGCGGUGAAAUGCGUAGAGAUUGAAAAGAACACCAAUGGCGAAAGCACUUUACUGGGCUAUCACUGACACUGAGAGACGAAAGCUAGGGUAGCAAAUGGG